rnacentral:lncRNA from 1 species
CCCCCUCCUUGCACCUAGCAGGGAGAGGAGUGUGCGGAAAGAUGGAGUUGAGACAGAAACUUGUUAGCAUAACACCGAAGGAGUUUUGCUGUGAGUAGCAUCAGCAUAGCAGGAGAACAUCCCUAGCUCUCCUGCCGCUGCUCUGCCACAAGGAGAGAAAGGGAAAAGCAAAUUCAGCAGGACCUCUAGGACUUUGCUGUAGAUCUCCAGGUGGAGCCAGGACCCUCCAGGAGAACUGAUGGCUAGAAAAGACUGCAAGUAAUGUGGAGGAAGGAAGAAGAGAGAGAGCAGAGAGAGAUGAUUCUUGCAAACAUUGAUCUGUGUAGAGCGGAUGUCAACUUGAUGGGAUAAGACCUGGGUUGACUUGGUAUCUGGGUUCAGGUCAGCAAACUCUAACGGCAUUUCCUUCUACUAGCAGACAGAUCUGCUCAUCCUGCGACAUUGUGGACAGUGCUGAAUGGCUUCCAGAACAUUCCUCUUAUGUCUACUGGUUAAACUUUGAAGCAUCUGAACCAUUUGGGAGAGCAGGGACCCCCAUGAACAGGAGAUACUGGAGGUGUCUGAGGCCACUUCAUGCCCUUUCUCAAGAGUGGCCUGCAGGUCUUUCAGCCACUGGCCACUGAAGUCCAGCUCCUGCCAGCCAUGGAUUUGGGCACUGGGCUCCAGUGUUGAGAAAGUUCUUGACUUCCAGCGCUUGUUUUCCUAGUGGACAAUAGGAGUCAGAGACAGAGAGGGAGAGUGAAGAUGCAGAAGACAUAUCCUUUCCAUUGUGACCCAGAUAAGAAUGUAGCCGGUGAGCUUGCUUCCUGUCACUCAUUUCCCAGCUAUUUGUUGUAGUCCAAGUUGUGCAUAUUCUUUCUGUUAGGUUCUUAUGUUUGUCUUAAGCUCACCCAUCUUUUCUUCUUCCCUCAUUUUUUCUUUAUAAAUCAAGAAAAAUUCUGCCACUUUCUUUCCCUGGCUCACUGCACAGCCAAUCAAUAAUUUUGAAUCCUUUGUGUAUCAAUUUCUACUGGCUAUUCAUUAUUUGUGGAAACCAUAUUAACGGGUCCAUAAAAAUCACAGCAAUCCAUUUGUUAAAUUCAUCAUAAGAACAGAUUACAUCUUUCUGGCCAAGUUUCAUGGUUUGGUAAUAUCAUAUUUUGGUUUUAGAAUUUAUAAGGUGCAUUCUCCCAUACUUUUCAAGUAUAUUUUUUAUUCAUUGCCCUCUCUGAAUUAGGCAUUUUUGGGGAUGCACGUUUUACAGAUAUGGAGACAAUGGUUCAGAGAAAUCAGCUUGUUCACAGUGGGGCCAGAGCUGGGACCUAGGGCUUCUGACUCUAUGUCUCAGGUCAUUCCUAUCACACACACACUGAAGGAGAAAAGAGUUCCCUUGUCUGGAGAAGACAUAUCAAAUUCAUGCGGGUUAAACACAGAAAUUCCAAAUAGCUGUAGUUUUUGUAAAAAUGGUUGAGCUAUGGACUUUUAAAGUAGUUGGCCACCUGUGGUGGUGGGUGGAAGGGAGUUAGGGCAGGAUUGUUGUGCUUCAGGGAGGAUUCAGUGUCUGCACGACCACGGAGGGGGGUGCAGGGCACCAGGUAUCCAGGACUGUUGUCAAGAGUUAUGCUUUGAAUUUCCCAGAGAAGACACACUGCUGCGAAAGGAAGAAAUCGUUGGUUUUUCUCCAACUGCUUAGCUGUUAAGAAGCAAGAAGCCUAUCUCCAAGGCAGCAGCAGGCCUCAGAGAAAACAGUAGGACCCUUCCUUCAAACAAAGGAGAAAACUCCCACAACUCAAAGCAAGUGCCCCCUGGUCAUUCUCUCAAAAAGCUACAGGCUCCAAAAAAAGACAGACUUCACAGGCUAGAGACGGGCUCUGCACUCAGGGUUGGUGGUCGGGGGCACAGAGCUGGCUGGGCAGGGCCAGAGGGGACCACAUUCUGCCACAUGCAGAGCAAAGCAGUAUCUUUCUAUUACUGGUCAAUGUAAUAUGAGCUGGGAAUGAGCAAUUUCAUACCUUUUUCUGAGAUAUUAAAAAGAAAUACGCUGAUGUGGCUGGAGGUAAUUUCCCAAAGCCUGUGGAUGGAGUUGAUGUCAGUAACUGGCUAUGAGGUUGUUAUUUACAGGACUGUUUGAUCCCACUGAAGUAGUGGUGCUUAAUAUGUAGCUCAAUGUGGCUCAGGAGCGAGGCCCAAUACUGCAUAUAAACCACCAUCCUGCAAUUUAUCCAGAGAGCAUGUGGGAGGUGAACCUUGAAUCAUUUGCUUGAUGGAUUUUUUUCUUUCCUUGGAAACAGAAAAACGAAUCUCAGUUUUCUCCCUAAGCCUUAGGCAACAGGGCUCCUUGCAAGUCACCUUCCCUUCCUUGUCCCCAAAACAAAGAUGCAUACAUGUUCCCCGAGCACUGCAAACACAGCCUUUCUUUCAGGGGCAGCUGGGUCCCUGGAUCCGCUUUCCCUCCCCUGGGCUGGUCCCAGUGUAAAUCAUCAGAUCUCCAGGUCCACUCGUCUGCACACAGGCUGCUUUGUAAGUGGGAGAAAGAAUCCACAGAACUUUACACUAAAUCCCCAUGGGAACCAGGUGAAUAGGUGUGUGUGUUUGCACACAAGCCCGUAUACAUGGCAAACCAAUCCAAGAGAUGGUGACCGAUGGGUCCAUAAAGACUCUGGCUGGCAAUGCUGUCAGCUUCCUUCAGCUGAGCGUCAGUUAGUUACCCUGGUAGUCUCAAAUGUCUCCUUGUGUCUGGAGACAACAUAGGGCCUGGCCCUGAGGACUGCCAGGCUGGGUCGCCCGGCAGCUGCACCUGUUGUAGGCUGGGUAGGCCCCCUAAAAUGCUUUGGGCAGCCCAAGAGUGUCUUCCUGAGUCAUGUGGAGCUGCCUCACCAGCAGCCCAGUGAGAGAUUCACAGCCCUAGUGGAGAGUGGAAGCCCUGGGCUAUCCCAAGCAAUCCUUGCGUCUGUGGGGCUGGUGCCGCCCCUUUGCGUCUCUUCUUGCAGCUAAGCAGAGCUCAGAGGCCAGGAAAAAAGCCACUGGGUGUCUUUGGAAACAGCUGACCUGAUUUUCAACAUUCCCUUUGAGCAUUUGCUAAAGGGGCACCACAGAAGGGCAUUAAGGAUGCCACCGUGGAAGGAAGCUGCAGAUGACAGAAGCGUGAGCACUGCUGGAAAAUGAGAAAGCUGAGUUGGGACUGCGUGCCAUGGAGAACCUGUACUGUCACCCUCCCCAGCCAUCUGACUACCAGCAGCUUCAGCAGCAUCAUCAUUUGCAUUCAUUCAUCUCUUUUCCUCACUCCCUCCCUCGAUGAAUCUCUUUGGGAAUGAUCUUCAAAAACUUUGCUUAGGUUUCAAGGUGCUUUUGAUUCACUGUAUUUUUCUUUAAAUAAGCCUUUUAAUUGAGCACAACGUUCAUAGAGAGAAGCGCACACAUCCUGAGGGGUCAGCCCAAAGAAUUUUCAGAAAGUGAACACGUGAGGGUGGCAAGCACCUGGACUAGGAACCAGAACACCGCCAGCGCCCCAGAUGUGCCCUUUUAGUCCACUUCUAGUCACUGUGCUCCCAUGAGGGUGCUCACCCUACCCUCUAGUACUGACAUUGAUGUUGCUUAUUUGUGAACUUCACUUGAAUGAACUCAUGCAACAGCGUGUCUGUGAGGUUCAUGCACGUUUCUGAACGUGGGAUCGCUGAAGUGUGGGGUUGUAUUCGAAACUGUAGUUUGCACUCAAAGAACAGCAAGUGGAAGAAAAUUACUUUGGAAAGGAAUUUUCAAAUCGAGUGUGAAUGAGAGGGUCUUUGGGACUUUGGCCUUUGGAGUUGAGCUGACCUAAAGGUAGAAGGUGAACUAGGAUCCUCUUAGCUCCCCACUCCACUCUGAACUGUGCUCCCAGGGCAAUCCAGCUUCUGCUCUCUUUUACUACUACUUCAUGUAAUGAUAAAAAUUAUGUCAGGUUAAAUAUCAGUAAUUGCUUAAGUGAGUUUGUAUAUCAAGCUGUGUAGUAACGCCUCACUGAAACACUGCUCAGCUGAGACUGAGAUUCAGUGUGUUGACGAAAAGAGUUAAACUCUAACAUAUUUGAAGAGAUUUAUUCUGAGCCAAAUAUGAGAGACCAUGGCCUGUGACACAGCCCUCAGGAGUCCUGAGGACAUGUGCCCAAGGUGGUUGAGGUACAGCUUGGUUUUAUGUAUUUUAGGAAGGGAUGAGACAUCAAUCAAAUACAUUUAAGAAACACAUUGGUUUGGUUCAGAAAAGGCGGAACAACUCAAAGUGGGGAGGCUUCCAGGCUAUAGGUAAAUUUAAACAUUUUCUGGUUGAUAAUUGGUAGAGUUUAUUUGAAGGUCUGGAAUUAAUGGAAAGGAAUGUUCAGGUUAAGAUAAAGGACUGUGGAGACCAAGUUUUAUUGUUCAGAGGAAUCUCUCAGAUAGCAGACUUCAGAGAGAGAGCAGGUUGUAAAAUGUUUCUUAUAAGACCUAAAAGGGUGCCUGGCUCUUAGUUGGUUAUCUCCUGGGUCUGGAAAGAAAGGAAGGAAAACAAACGGGGAAGGAGAUUCUCUGUAGAUUGUGGAUUUUUCCCACAGAGACUUUGCAGGACAAUUUCAAGGCAUGGCAAGGAAAUGUAUUUUGGGGUAAAACAUUUCGAUUUUCUUCCUUGUUAUGCCAGAGUCAGAUUGGAAAGUAAGUCACUAUAUACAGGGUCAAAUAAAACCCAUCUGAUGAGAAUUUAUGGUUUGUAGGGUAUGACUCCCUAGACCCCUUAGAUAGGAAUUUGGGCAAGAUAAAAAAAAUCAGAUCUUAGUCCUCAAGUGUAAAGCAGAUCAAUUGAGAAUCCAAAUCUGCAGGGUAUAAGGUCAGACGCAGUCAACCGAUGCAUGAACCAAGAAGCAUUUAUAGAAGCCUCUGGCGCUUUUCCUUUGCUCACCUCUGUCCACAGGCUCUGAACUAAUUCCUUCAUUUUUUUUUAAAUUUGCAAAUAAGAUUACUGUAUUAUAGAUUUGAAGAUGCACCCAAUUAUUUUAUAAGCUUUUUUUUAUGUAACACUAAGAAAUUAAAAAAAUGCUGAAGGUGCAGUCUAGUAGGAGACCCUGCAGCUGAAAUGCUGAAGUCAUUCUUUGUGUGCAGGAAACAAGAAAAAAGCCUGCCAUGCAGAAAGUCACUGAGAAACCUGCUGGCCUCCAUGGUGGCACGUGGGGGAGGGAGGAGAAGAAAACUCCUGAAAGAAUGUGGACCACACAGCAUGCUCUGGUGGGUAUGUGGGCUGACAAAGAACAGGGAGCGCUAACAGUGAAAAUGAAGAGCCUGCCCCGCCUCCCAGCGUGGACCUUGACCUGGGGCCAGACCAAGGCCACUUUAUAGAAACGUCCCUGGAGCGUGUCUCAGGUGGCCCUGCCUGCAUCCUGGCCUACCUCUGGGGCCCUUCUUACCCACAGUCCUACUUUCCACCCACCUUGACCCCAAGAGGUGUUCAUUUAUAACGCCCCUGCAUCUUCUCAACUUCAAAGUCAGCUCGGACCUCGUUCACCCAGACAAGACCUUGGCUGAGUCUUGACAAACUGGCACAGGGUCCCCCGACAGAAGACAGCUUUCCUUUCUCUUUGCUUUCCUUUAUCUUAGCCGAGUCCGGCCUCCCCAGCACUCUUUUCCAUCUGGGGACAGUUCGUGCUGGUGGGAAUUGGCAGGGGCACACGGUCCAGACAGAGACAACUGAAACACAGGUGUCCCGCUGGUGUGCCAGCAGGGCGGCCGUCCUACCAGGAGCAGGACACUUUGUUGGCCACUGCCCAUGCAAUAAUCAGCGUGGGACAAACAGUCCCAUGGGGAGUGAGGUGAUGUGAAGAAAAGGAAGCCGAAGAAGAGAAGAAGCUGAAGGGCCAGUAAACACACACAUAGACGCUCACCCUCCCCUUCGUUGGAAAAAUGAACGGCUGCUGUUGCCGAGGGCUGGUGAGGAUGAGGCCCCAGGCCUGCAGGAGGGCACAUCCGGUUGGCCGCCUCGACGGGGCCAUCUGGGUAGCUGCUGCCCUUUGCAUGUAAAUAAAGCUCCUCAAAGCCCCAUUUCACAACUGCUGGGAGAAACAGCAUCCUUCCCUCCUUCCCUAUAUUUCCAGGGAGGAGGUGGCUGGUUUUUUUUGUUGUUGUGUUUUUUUUGUUUGUUUGUUUUGUUUUGUUUUGUUUUUUCCAGAUUUCUCCCAGCCACAUCCAGCUUCUUGUUCUGUAAUUUUUUUUUCCAAAUUACUGACUGCCUUCUUUCAAGGGGAAAUGGAACUCAGAAAGAUGGGAAGAUACAUGAUAAGAGCACUUAAGAGAGAAGCCUGUCCAUUUCCACUAAGGUUGAAGUGUGCAUACUCCAGGAUCCAGUCCUUCAUGUCUACACAAGGAGUCCCAGGAAAAGGUCUGUGCAAAACGUUUGUAAUUGCAACGGAGCAGCCACGACCUAGCCCUCCUUCAGCAGAGGAAUGAAUAAACUGGUUUAUUCAGUCAACGCAGCAGUUAAAAUGAGAGAAUUAGUGAUGUUGAAAGGAAAAAUGAAGAGCAAACAGAUACAGUAGGAAGUUAUCACGUACAUUUCAAAAACAUUCAAAACAACCGUACAUAUUUAUGGAUUCAUGUAAUAAUGCAGUAAAAAUACAAAAUCAGAGCCAGGACUGUGGCACACUGAAUUCAGCACAAUGGUCGUCUCUAAAUGUGGGUUCAUGUGGGAGGAGGUGACCCCGGGGUGGGGGCUUCUGCUGUAUUUGUCAUGUUUGGGUUAUUUGAAAGGGAGAGAGAGCACUGUAGUUAUACAGUAAAAUGCAAACAUAUUUUUUAUUUUAGUGGUGAGUAUACAGGUGUCUGUUGUGCUGUUUUCUGUGUGUUUGAAUGGUUUCAUAAUUUUUAGAAAAUUAAACCAUGAGGUCGGAUAUGGUGGCUCACCCCUGUAAUUCCAGCACUUUGGGGGGUCAGAGCAGAAGGAUUGCUUGAAGACCAGCCUGGGCAACAUAGCAAGAUUCUAUCUUUACAAUUUCUAAAACAUUUUUCAAUUUAAAAAUGAUAAACAAUGAAAAACUGCAAAGAAAUAGAUUGAAAAGUUCACAGUUGCUUUUGCCACAUUUUGUGAAUAUGUUAUUUUUAUAAUGAAAAAUUACAGAUAAUUUUGAUUGCUUUGAAAAGUAAUUAUGUGGAAAAGAAAAACAAAUAGCAAACCAUGGCAUAGUUCCUGAGGCCUGCAUCUUUCUAGCAGCCUCUUGGCAAAUCGGGAGCUCUUUGUGAGGUGUGAUUACCAAAACCCGCUGGAAGGGUAUCAGCACCACCUCACAAUGAACCCAGUGUUGCUAAUUCUGACGCCAAUAUUUCCACAGGACUCAGUUGAUGGAAUCUUCCUGAAUGUGUUAUUUAUGGUACCAAAUGAAAAAAGACCUCAUUUACCAGCCACACUCUAGGCUGCAAAGAGACAGAUUUUUAGGCAGGUUCUUCAUUUUAUUUUUGCCCCAUUUAAAACCAGCAUCUUUGUAGUAACCAAAGUUAAUUCAGGGCACAUUUUGCUGCAUUAGGUCCUGGGCCUGUGAUCACUAAGACCUUUUGAAAUGUAAAUAAAGCUCCCAAACCCCCAUUUCACAAAUACUGGGAAAGCCAGGCUCCCUCCCAAAUUUCCAGGGCGGAGAGGCGCGCGUUAAGAUUCCUCCCAGUCGCCUCUAGCUUCUUGUUUCGGAAUCCCUGCCCCAGAUUACUGAUCGUCUCACUGCAUUAUCUUCCUGAAUUUGUGUCUCCUUCAGGGGGGAUACCUCCCACCUCAAGGUGUGAGAAAUUGGGGCACCCAUGGGAGAGAUGGAGGUGGCUACAUUACUGCACCCCAAAACCUCCUGAAGAUAAACGUCACAUAUCCUUGCAAUCAAAUCCCCGGUUGUUAAACGCCCUCUGCUCUCCUUGCCGGCAGGAACUUCCCAGUAGCUCUUUCCCAAGUGGAACCUCCCCUGUCAUUUUGUUUGUUUGUUUGUUUGUUUGUGGUUUUUCAUCUGGGUUUUGUUGUUGUUGUUGUUGUUGUUGAGAAGGAGCCUCGCUCUGUCACCCAGGCUGGAGUGCAGUGGCGUGAUCCUGGCUCACUGCAACCUCCGCCUCCCGGGUUCAAGCGAUUCUCCGGCCUCAGCCUCCCGAGUAGCUGGGACUACAGGCGCCCGCCACCACGCCCGGCUAAUUUUUUGUAUUUUUAGUAGAGACGGGGUUUCACCGUGUUAGCCAGGAUGGUCUCGAUCUCCUGACCUCGUGAUCCGCCCGCCUCGGCCUCCCAAAGUGCUGGGAUUACAGGCGUGAGCCACUGCACCUGGCCUUGGUCUAGGGUCUCUUAGUCUUUCACUCUCAGGCACUUUGAGGAAAUGUAUUAAACAGGACAAUUUUGUUUUAAUAGUCUCACUCUUGGCUUUGCCGCACGAGCUAUGUUUUUGUUUCUAAAACAAAAAUAAGGUUUACCAAAACAAGAUGAUCCUUAAGGAUUUGGCUAAAAAAGAAUUCUCUAUGCCAAGUGAAACUAUGCCUGCGGAAGUUAAAUUCUCACCACCCUCCCACUCUGCACCAGCCCUGCCACCAGCCUCACUCCUUGAAAGUCUAGUUUGGGAAUCAGAACAUAUCCAGAACAAAAUGGAACCAUGUUGUGCUAGGUGUCAAAUGAAUGAUGCAAGCAAGAAAUGUUGUAGGCAUUGGUAUGGCAUGGAGGAGAAAACUAAGGCCUUGUACUACCUGCUCAGGAAGGUUAGGAAAUGACAGAAACGGAAACCGAGUUUCAAUAGCAGCAUCUCUGAACUGGCUUUUUGUAUUCUCGGGCUGAUUUUGCAGGCUGGUAGCAGUUCCCUGUCUAGAAGAUACAAUGGACCCAGAGCCAUCAGCUGCUUCCUGGGGGAAGUGGUGGUGGCUGGGGAGGGGGAUCGUGAUUCUGCUGCAGGAUAAUUGCCAAGGACAGAGGGAGGGCUGUGUUCUCCUGCCUGAAGAUGGAAGUAAAGGAACAUUUUAACUGGGCAAAACCCUUCAAUCCUAGCCCAGCUGAGCAGGGAGUUGGUUUUCGAAAGCAGAGCUAUACGGACAGCCCCUGUGCCGGAUAUGACCUCCUAUAUUAAGAAAAAGUGGAAAAAACAGAACUGAAAGGAGUAGAGAUCUUCCUACAGUGCCAAGGCAGGCUUUAAGUCAGCUUUAGAAAUAAAUCAGCUGUGAGCAAAUAACACCUCGCACAGUGCUCGGUCCUCAGCAACUACUCAGUUAAAGUCUGUUGAACGGAUCAGGGAUAACUGAACUCAGGAAUCUAAGGAAUAAGCAUGAUAUAAUUAAUUGCAGCUCUGGUCUUAAGAUUUCCUUGGGUUUCACCCCUGGCUGAGAUGAUACCACAAGGGAGCCUCUCUGUUGCCUCCCGCAGCCCUGCCCUGAGCUGAGACCCAUCUGUAGGGCGUCAGGGCAGGAGGCGGCUGCAGCUUUCCCCAAAGAUGAGUGAGCUCACGCCACAGCUUGGAGAAAGGAGGCACGAGCACAGUCAUGUUACCGAGGCCAGGGCAGGGCUGAAGCCCCCCUCUCUCCAUAGCCGUGUCUUACUAUGACAAGGAACAAGUUUUUUCUCCACUUUUCCCUCCACUCCUAGGUUCAGGUCAACAUGAGGGUGACCAUCGCCAGGGUCAGUGCAUUUGGUAGGAGACCAGGGACCGUUUCUGGGAAUGUCAGGAAUCUUGUCUUUCAAAUGCUCACUUCACUUCACAGCCCCUGCGAGUGCCCUGAACCUUUGCAAGGUAUGUUCUAAGAAAGGGAACAAGGCCGGGCGCGGUGGCUCACGCCUGUAAUCCCAGCACUUUGGGAGGCUGAGACGGGUGGAUCACGAGGUCAGGAGAUUGAGACCAUCCUGGCUAACAUGGUGAAACCCCGUCUCUACUAAAAAUACAAAAAAUUAGCCAGGCAUGGUGGCGGGUGCCUGUAGUCCCAGCUACUCGGGAGGCUGAGGCAGGAGAAUGGCGUGAACCCGGGAGGCAGAGCUUGCAGUGAGCCAAGAUCGCGCCACUGCACUCCAGCCUGGGUGACAGAGCGAGACUCCAUCUCAAAAAAAAAAAAAAAAAAAAAAAAAAGAAAGAAAGAAAGGAAACAAAUGAGGAUGAGAGGAAACAGCUAUGAAAUCCUCAGAAUCAGGUUCCACCAGAGAUCCAAGCCCCAGUGCAGGAGUGGCCCCCUGUUCACUGGCUUUCUCCAAAAACGGCACCAGUGGGGGCCAGACACUUCACGUCUGGGCUGAGCAUCUUUCCAAGCACGAACUGCCCAGCCUAUGGAAGUGCAGGGCGCAUGAGAGAAGAGAGGAUUUAUUCAACGACACAGAGUUCUUAUUUAUUUUUACUUUAGAGGACCAUCCAGAAUGCAUUUCCACCCUGCUUUCCUUCUGUGGCUGCUACUGUAGCUCUUAUUUAUACCAUCAUCCCUUAAAACAAGGUGAAGUAGAUGUGGGACUUGAAAGAAUGAAUUGUGCGGCCUUGAGCACACGGUUGUUCAGCAGAGGUGACCAUGUCUGUUUCAUUUGUGCUGAUCCCUGAAGGAGACACAGAGGGCAACGGAGUAACUAUUGGUGCAAACCAUCGGAAUAAGAUGCUUAUUUCAAUGUUGCAAUGGAAGUCAGAAUUUUCUGGUCAAUCUGCAAUAUAAUUUAAGCUAAUACAAGCCUGCUAUUAGAAUUAACUAGAUAGAGAGAGGGAUAGUGAGCGGGGAGAUGGCCCAUUUGAUCAGCAGAGCUUCUUGAAACUUGGAUAUGGUAAGAGGGUUGUGUGUCACCCUGAGUGACAGAGGUGGCCCCACUUGGUAUUGUGUAAAAUCACUAGCCAAUGUUGUAUGGAUGAUGUCACCACUGACAUGUACGCAUUCCUGUCGUCUCUUGCCUGCAAACUGAUGGUGAGAUACUUGUGGUAAAAAUUAUUUCUCAUGCAUCCUUCAUGCUUAGCAAAGUGCUGCAUUGACUUUUGCUUAUUUUGUGGAUGUUUGCCAGUGAAUCUUUGACCCAGAAUUGGAAGCAGAACCCAGACAGGUUGGCUCGUCUUACGCAAACCACUGGUGCAGGUUUGCACUGAGUGGAACGUAUCCACUAAUUAGCCUAGAGAUAAAAAUUCUUAGGAGAUAAACUUCAUUAUGGAAAAUUUCAUUAAAUUUUUAUAAAUAUUGAGAAGGGAAAUAGUGUAGUAUAAUCCUCCUGUAUUCAUCAUCCAGUUUAACAAUUGUCACCUCAUACCCAAUCUUUUUUCACCUGUACUGUCCCCCACCUGGAUUGUUUUGUAGCAAAUCCCAGACAUCGCAUCAUUUUGUCCAUAAAUAUUUCAGUAUGCCUCUCUAAAAUAGUAAAACUCUUUACAAAAUAACCUUAAUAUCAAUAUUGUACCUAAAAUAAUGAACAAUAAUUACACAAUCUUAUCAGAUAGUUAUUGAAUUUUCCAGUUUUGCUGAUUAUCUUAUAAAGUUUUAUAAUGGUUUUUUUCAAUUGACAAAAUCAGGACUUCACCAGAGCAGGUAAAAUCACUGAGAUGGUUCUUGGGUCUCUGAAGUCUCUUCUAAUCUCUACUGUUUCUCUUCCUCACCACCUGUUUGGAAUGUUGUGAGGUACAUGGAUGUGCUUUGGUCAAAGAAUAGGCCGAGGCGGACACCCAGGCCUGCAUGACUCAGUGAGUUUCGCGUGCCAGCGCACACCUCCACUUGUUAUAUAACCUGUUUGUGUAAGUUCAUACUUGGCUCUGAGCCACUAUUGUCUGUAAAAGGUAUAACUGUCCUGGUGAUGCUGUACAGAGGCUCUUGGCUCUUGGGGCUCAGCUUUGCCUCAACGUGGCUUCACGUGGCGGGCACCCUGGUGCCCAGAGAGAGAACCAGAGCUGUCCGUCCUGCAGAUGGACACAGGGGAGCCACAGCACGGCUCGCGCUGGUGCCCAGAGAGAGAAAGAGUGAAGCUGCUGACCCUGAAGGCAAGGCAGAGUCUGCCAUGCAGCUGCAGAUGUCGGGGUGACAGGAGCCGCAGAGCCGGAGCAAACGGCUGAGAUAAGAGCGGACAGCGUGAGAGAAGCUGCCCAUGAAAGCGCUGGUGUGAAAAAGCUGUUAAUGAAAGCGGCUGCUGAAUAAAACCAUAUUCACCUGCCUAGAGCUCCCCAAGCGUUCUUUCCGCUCAUCCACCCACUCCCCUCGGACCGCAGCAUGGGCUGGACCUGGACCCCAGGAUCUGAAAAAUGUAUUUGUUGAAGAAAUACAAUUUUUGUCCUGUAGAACCUGCAAUUUGCUAAUUGCAUUUAUGUGGUAUCUUUGAACAUGUCUCUGUCCUCUGUAUUUCUGGUAGUUAGAUCUCGGGUCCAAUGUCUUUGUCAAGAAUACUUCCCAGAUGGUGUGUGUACCUCAGCUGCAGGACCCUUAUGCUUGGUUGUUGCCCAUCAUUACCAUAGGUUAUUUCAUCAGAGGUGGCAAAAUGGUGAUUUUCUAAUUUUUAAUUCAUUUUUUCCUUUAUUUUGUUUGCUGGAAUACUUCUAUAAAGAGAAACUUUCCCUCAUCAACUAUUUGAUGAUGUAAGGUGCAGUUUAUAUAAAGCCAGAUACAUGCUGGAUUCUUUUCCCUUACUGACCAGUUUUUAAAACGAGUUGGUUUCCUAGUCUCCUGCAACCAGUGAUUUUGAUACAGAAUGGUUGGGCUCCUGGCUAAACCCCACCCUUGGGCCUGGAGCCGCAGCCCUAAGUGAAAACAGCUGACCCCGUUUUCCACCCAAAUGUUGCCUUUUUGGCCUGCCAUGCCCCUAUCCUGUGCCCAUAAAAAGACUUCAGCUGGCAGAGCAACACAAGCGGCUGAUGCAAGGGGUCGGGGAUGCAAGCUGCUGAACGUAGGGGAUGCAAGCGGCUGAGCAUCAGAGACUACAGAUAGACGCAGCUAACCUCAGACGGUGCAGCUUCAGGGAAAGAUCACCUUCUUCCCGCACCAUCCCCUUUCCAAUUCCCCAUUCUGCUGAGAGCCACAUCCAUCGACCAAUAAAAUCCUCUGCAUACACUACCCUUCAAUCUGUUCCUGUGACCUAAUUCUUCCUGGACACCAAACAAGAACCUGGGUGCCGAGAGGGCAAGGGCUUGGAUGCUGCUGUGGGGCCUGCGCAGAGUCUGCUCUCAUCAGAGAGGAGCGACCAGCUGUUUCCAGCAUUUGUUCCCUCCAGUUCCAGCACUCACCUGCUCACACGCUCCCUCUCGCGAGGAGUGGCCAGCAGCGGGCUGAGUGAAAUGCGCCACUCCAGUUCCCGCCUACAAAGCAUGUCAAGGUCAAGGGAACAAUCCCGUCUCAAUUUGUUGCAGUAGAUAUUGCUCUUGGUUUUGAGUAUCGGUAUGAAGGAAUGGACUUAAACAGAGGAAUGUGUUUUCUUCCGUUGCUAUUUGUGUUCUUAUUGAUGCUCAAGUGGUCACAUUUUCAGCAAGAGGCAGCCUUAGCAAUGUAACAUGAAUGAUGGCUUUGAUUUACGUAGUGAUGAAAGUGAUGUGUGGUUGUGUAGACAUCAUCUAUGAUGAUCUCAUCCAGAAGGGCCCUCAGUGACAGCCUCUCAUGUGUAAGGGACUGGCCAGAUCCCAUGCCACAAGGAAUUUCUUUAUGGCCUCAUCACCUAUUUGUCUGCUUCAUUCACACAAGUGUGGUUCAGAUGAAUGAAUAAAUGGAUGGGUAAACUUCUGUAGGCCACCAGGCAAAAGUUACAUUAUGUCAACUGCUCCUGAAUACAUGUGGUAUAACAACCAUUGGUAGUCUUCAUAAGACACUAAGCUGAGGCAGUGAGGUAGAAGUGGCAGGCAGGAAGAGGGUAAAAAUAUGUAUUGAGGCCAGGCAAGGUGGCUCACGCCUGUAAUCCCAGCACUUUGGGAGGCCAAGGCAGGCAGAUCACUUGAGGUCAGGAGUUCAAGACCAGCCUGGCCAAGAUGGUGAAACCCUGUCUCUAUUAAAAAUACAAAAAUUAGCCGGGUGUGGUGGUGGGCGCCUGUAAUCCCAGCUACUCAGGAGGCUGAAGCAGGAGAACCGCUUGAACCCCGGAGGUGGAGGUUGCAGUAAGCCAAGAUAGCACCACUGCACUCCAGCCUGGGUGACAGAGUGAGACUCUGCCAAAAAAAAAAAAGAAAAAUAUAUAUAAUAUGUAUUGAGUGCCUGUUUUGUGUAAGCAGGGUUCUAGUCAUUUAAGAUGUACCUGAAUAAAACAAAGAGCCUUACUCUCCUAGAACUUGUGUUUCUACCUGGGGAGACUGUCAGUAAACCAUCCACAAAAUAAAUACAGCAGAUGCUGUUAGAAGAUGAUGGUGCUAUGGUGUGCUGUGGAAAAUAGAGAAAGUAGAGGGAAGUGAGAGGGAUUGCGUACACUAGGAUUGUGACUUUACACAGAAGGGUCAGUGGUGCCAUUUUAGCAAAGAUCUGAGAGAGGUAAAGGAAUAAGCUUUGCAGAAGUGUGGGAGACAAAUGUUCCAGGUACAGGAAAUGACCAACGCCAAGACCCUAGGGUGGCAAUGUGUCUGCUUUGAGUUCUAGAGAAGGGGUAUAUUAUACAUCGCUUUUUGUGACUCACUUUUUGGCAAACAUUAUGCUUCUAAAAUGAACCUGUAUUUUGGAAUAUAUCUGUGGUUCAUUAAUUCUCAUCUUUGUACAGUAUUCUAUUAUAUAAAUACACCAUGAUUUAUUUAGUCAAUUAACAUUUGGGUGAUAUCUGGUUUUUUUGCUAUUAUAAAUGCUGCUAUGGGCCAGGCACAGUGGUUCAUACCUGUAAUCCCAACACUUUGGGAGGGUGAGGUCGGAGGAUCACUUAAGCCCAGGAGUUUGAGAUCAGCCUAGGCAACAUAGUGAGACCUCAUCUCUCAAAAAUAUUUUUUUUAAAAUUAACUGGGCAUGGUGAUGUGUACCUGUAGUCCCACCUACUUUGGAGGCUGAGGCAGGAGGAUCACUUGAGCUUGGAGCUUGAGGCUGCAGUGAGCUAUGAUCAUGCCACUGACUCCAGCCUGGGCGAUAGAGUAUGACUUUGUCUCAAAACAACAACAACAAUAAUAAUAACAGCAAUUAAAAUGUACUCUGUGAACGUCAACUAAUAACUACAGUCAUUUUCACUGGCCAAAGAGAAAGGGACAGGUGUAGGCUGAGUUCAUGCCCAGUAAAACUAAGUGGCACUGCAGUUUCAAGAAAACUGCACAGAAGCAUGAAUGAAGGGACAGUGGAAAGGAUGCUGGAUGAUCAUGAGACACAAUGAUACAGCAGCUGCUAUAGCAACUUAUUUAUGUUGGGAGUGGCUAUUGGUAUCAGUAAAACAAUGCCACUUGUCCAUAACUUUAACAACUUAACUUUCAUUGCUUUUGUAACUUUGUCCUUAAUUUUUAAAUCAGUUUUUGUUUUACAGCUAUAAAAUAACUACCCACAAAAGAACAUUAUUAUAAAAAUAAAAAAGUCCACACCCAUUUAAGAAUCUUUUAUUUUUGGUCGGACGCAGGGGCUCACGCCUGUAAUCCCAGCACGUUGGGAGGCUGAGGCAGGUGGAUCACGAGGUCAGGAGUUUGAGACCAGCCUGGCCAAUAUGGUGAAACCCCAUUUCUAC